CCUUUCCAAGUAAGGAUGUUUAAUCAUACACAUGCCAACCUGCUGUGUCCUCCAGACCAAAGAAUGGACUCUGCCCCUUAUUUGUCCAUAAAACAUUCACAUGGAAACCAGACUCUUAACACAGCUGAAUUUAUUUGGGGAUGAAUAUUAUAGCCCAGUGAUAUUUUGGAGAGAAAAUUAAGAACAAAAAACCAUAAGCAGAUCUUCUUCCUCCAUACAUCUAAAGACUUUUUGUCCAUUGUAGCAAACUGCAAAGAGACAGCUGCUCAUCUGUGACCACCGAAGGCCACCCCUCUCCAAAUAUACCUUCCAACUGGAAUUAGGACCAUGACAGAAGCUUGAGAUAAAGAGGAUACUAUUGUCCAAUCAUCACAGAUCUGGGCAGAAUUUGUCCAUCACUGGUACUGGAAGAGAUACUGGAAUGCUGAUGGCUCAAACAUUCAGGAGGAAGCUGCUGAUGUGCAAAGUACCUGCCCAGAUGCAGAGGAUGAGCACAGCCCACCUCAGGCUACAGAUGAUGUUGAACAAGGUCCUUCCUCCUUGUCCUAUCACUGGAUACCCUCGUGAACAUCUCAGCUGGGAAGAGACCUACCAGGAUCAUCAGCUCCAAUGUCUAACCCAACCUUGCAGUGGUCAGCAUGGAAAAGGUGGAAAAGAAGAGACUGAAGAAGAAAUAGGGCAGGGACCCUGCAGAGUAUCUCCAGGAAAAGUGAAAUAGCUGACAGGAUUCAGAUGCUUGAAGACUAUUUCUCUCUUAAUGGAAGAACAGCUGCAGAGAGAUAAAUUUUUGCAGUAAAUGAAGCUCUGAUGAGUAUCAGUUGCUGAAUUUCCCCUUUGUCCACCCUGAAACAUUUCACCUGUUCAUCUAAGGGCUUUUUGGAGCAGCAGUGCUGGUUUGUCCUUUCCACAGAGUGAACUGGCUUUUAACAUGGAUUUGUCCUAACUUAAUUUUACAGGAGGCUCAGUUCUCUUUUCCAGAUCAAGUCCCUGUGUCACAUAAAACCCAGACAUUCUGGGACAUGGAGAACAGAAGACCAUCUGGGAAAACUAUCAGUGACCUCUGAGACCACAGCAGUUUUGAUUUAGCUGGCUUUCCUAGGAAAAAUAAUUCACAUUUCCUAGAGCAAAAAAAAAACCGUAAUAGUACAACAACCAAGAAGUUGCAAAGUAAGGAGACACUCUGAUGUGUGAAAUUCCCCUACCUCCAAAGGAUUUUAUUUUAGGUAGCCUCAAUACCAUGUGGGAAUCCAGAAAGGGUUAAGAGACAGGAAUGUAAUAAAGGAUUUGAUAUGGAAGCUCCCGAGACA
rnacentral:lncRNA from 1 species